CACCCGUCGUCCCCUCUCACCUUGAGUCCAGUCUCACCUCGCGGAUCGCUGCUCGAAUCCCUGCAAAGUACUCUCUUCCUCUUCCUGAGGGUGCUUGGCUUCGGCAAACUCUCACCCAUCUUCAACGGACACCGACCUUCGCGACGACACGACCUGGAUGAAUGGAGUAUCCGGAGAAGGUUUUUGAAGACGUUUAGGAGGAAGGGUGAGUUUUCUGUUGAGAAACUCAAUCUGCCAUACAGUAGCAGCCCCAUCUGGGAUCUGUCACUGCUGACAGCACCACAGGGCACUGCCGUGAUCUUCUGCACAGCCUGCACUCCCCGAAAUACCCUCCUUAAUCAAAGGAUGUCUGCGCGCCAGCGCUCAGCUGACCGCGCCGAAGCCGAGAGGCCUACGGGUCCACCCAUCCCGCCCCCUUCCCAGGCUCACAGCCUCCCCCAACCCCGUCUUUCCAGAGCAUUAAUUAAAAGCGGAAAAAAGACAGAGGCUGAUGUCAUUGCUCUCAGAUCAUAAACGUAAGAGUCAUCCUGUGAGAAUCCCUGAAAAUGACUUUAAUGAAUAAUUUCAGAGACAGUUAUGGCUUUGGGUGAUUACUGAGCGAGAAUAUGAAAACCAGAUUUUCAAGGGAAGGCGAUGGUCAGGCGGUCUGACCGCCACCCCCACCCCCCCCAUUAAAACCGCAUCAGUUUUUCUUCUUCCUCAACUACUACUACAAACUUAGAUUUUUGUUUCCAGGGUUUUUUCUUUAAAACUAAAGCCACAAGCAACACACACACACACACACACACACACACACACACACACACACA